UACGGAGGGUGCAAGCGUUAUCCGGAUUCACUGGGUUUAAAGGGUGUGUAGGCGGGCUAUUAAGUCAGUGGUGAAAUCUCCGGGCUCAACCCGGAAACUGCCAUUGAUACUAUUAGUCUUGAAUUCUGUUGAGGUAGGCGGAAUAUAUCAUGUAGCGGUGAAAUGCAUAGAUAUGAUAUAGAACACCGAUUGCGAAGGCAGCUUACUAAGCAGAUAUUGACGCUGAGGCACGAAAGCGUGGGGAUCAAACAGG
rnacentral:rRNA from 1 species